GACGAACGCUGGCGGCGCGCCUAACACAUGCAAGUCGAACGAGCGAGAGAGAGCUUGCUUUCUCGAGCGAGUGGCGAACGGGUGAGUAACGCGUGAGGAACCUGCCUCAAAGAGGGGGACAUCAGUUGGAAACGACUGCUAAUACCGCAUAAGCCCACGACCCGGCAUCGGGUAGAGGGAAAAGGAGCAAUCCGCUUUGAGAUGGCCUCGCGUCCGAUUAGCUAGUUGGUGAGGUAACGGCCCACCAAGGCGACGAUCGGUAGCCGGACUGAGAGGUUGAACGGCCACAUUGGGACUGAGACACGGCCCAGACUCCUACGGGAGGCAGCAGUGGGGAAUAUUGCACAAUGGGGGAAACCCUGAUGCAGCGACGCCGCGUGGAGGAAGAAGGUCUUCGGAUUGUAAACUCCUGUUGUUGAGGAAGAUAAUGACGGUACUCAACAAGGAAGUGACGGCUAACUACGUG
rnacentral:rRNA from 1 species